GCUCACUUUGACAGCAUAGACUAAAAAUUGAAAAAAUACAGAGAAGAUUAGCAUGACCCCUGCACAAGGAUGACAGAACACUAAUGUAAUAGAAUCAUUCUGGU